rnacentral:rRNA from 1 species
CCUUUCCUUCGGGAUUGGGGACAGCGGCGAACGGGUGAGUAACACGUGGGUAAUCNGCCCUUGACAUCGGGAUAGCCCGGGGAAACCCGGAUUAAUACCGAAUAGCCUCCGGAGCCUUCGGGCGCCGGAGAAAAGGUAGCUUCGGCCUCUGGUCAAGGAUGAGCCCGCGGCGGAUUAGCUUAUUGGCGGGGUAAUGGCCCACCAAGGCGACGAUCCGUAGCUGGUCUGAGAGGACGAUCAGCCACACUGGGACUGAGACACGGCCCAGACUCCUACGGGAGGCAGCAGUGGGGAAUCUUGCGCAAAUGCGGGAAACCGUGACGCAGCGACGCCGCGUGGGGGAAGAAGGCCUUCGGGUUGUAAACCUCUUUCAGGAGGGACGAAGCUACUCGGGUUAAUAGCCCAGAGGGUGACGGUACCUUCAGAAGAAGCCCCGGCUAACUACGUGCCAGCAGCCGCGGUAAUACGUAGGGGGCAAGCGUUGUCCGGAUUUAUUGGGCGUAAAGAGCGUGUAGGCGGCCAGACAAGUCUGCUGUGAAAACUCGAGGCUCAACCUCGAGCUGUCGGUGGAAACUGUCUGGCUAGAGUCCGGAAGAGGAGAGUGGAAUUCCUGGUGUAGCGGUGAAAUGCGCAGAUAUCAGGAAGAACACCUAUGGCGAAGGCAGCUCUCUGGGACGGUACUGACGCUGAGACGCGAAAGCGUGGGGAGCGAACAGGAUUAGAUACCCUGGUAGUCCACGCCGUAAACGAUGGGUGCUAGGUGUGAGCGGUGUCGACUCCGUCCGUGCCGAAGCUAACGCAUUAAGCACCCCGCCUGGGGAGUACGGCCGCAAGGCU